rnacentral:rRNA from 1 species
UACAGAGGGUGCGAGCGUUGUUCGGAAUUACUGGGCGUAAAGCGCGCGCAGGCGGCCUUUUAAGUCUCGUGGUGAAAUGCCGGGGCUCAACCCCGUGCCCGCCGGAGAUACUGGGAGGCUGGAGACAUGUAGAGGCAAGCGGAAUUCCGGGUGUAGCGGUGGAAUGCGUAGAGAUCCGGAAGAACACCAGUGGCGAAGGCGGCUGCCUGGGCCUGGCCUGACGCUGAGGCGCGAAAGCGUGGGGAGCAAUCCGG